ensembl:lncRNA
AGAACAUUGUAAAUUUUUCUAUUUAUAAAGAAUUUUUAACAAGAAUUUUUCUAUUUAUAAAAUGAUCACAGGGAUUAAUUAGAAAACAAUAUUCUAAAAGUAGUCUUAAUAAGUAUAAAUGACCAUGGUUGUCCUCAAUAAAAAAGAUUAUAGACCUCUACUUGCAUGUGUGUGCUCAGCCGCUUCAGUCGUGUCCAGCUCUUUGUGAUCCUAUGGACUGUAGCUUGCCAAGCUCCUUUGUCAGUGGGAUUCUCCAGGCAAAAAUACUGGAGUGGGUUGCCAUGUCCUCCUCCAGGGGACCUUCCUGACCCACAUAUGCAUAUGCCCACACAUAUGCAAACAUGCACAGUCUCUGCCUUUGAUAAAGAAGAGACCCUUUGGGAAUCAUCUUUUACCUCUAUACCAUUGCAUUCCCAGGACCUAACAAAGAGUAUUUCAUCCCGGAGUUUUUAUGAUGUUCAGUAAAUUCCCACAUGCAGAUAACAUCAUCUUCCAAGAAUCAGGGAAUCGCCUUCUCCUG